UGGGGCAUGGUGCAACGGCAGCACACCAGACUUUGGAUCUGAGGAUCUUGGUUCGAAUCCAGGUGCCCCAGCCU
rnacentral:tRNA from 1 species